GGCAUUUUUGUCAUUUCUUGUGCUGAUGACACGUUCACCCUAAUUUGCCGCGUAAAAAGCAUCGCUUCUUACAACUCAAUUCUAUCUCUGCUGCAUUUCUUUACUUUGCUUUUGUUUAGUACCAAGUUCUGUCUUGUUCUUCUUUACCCUCCUUUUGUCCUGUAAGUGUUUGAUAAAAUUCCUCUUAAGCUUUACUGUGUUUUCCUUGCAGUUCUUUGCAGUUGAAAGUUGCUGAAUUUUGCUUGUUUAAUCAAAGUUUUUUCCCUCAUCAAUAAUCUCUCUUUUGAUCUGCAAUUUUAUACAAAGGAGACAAAUGUUUCAAAAGAGUAGAGUUUUUGGAUAUAGCUUUCUGGGAUUAUCCUCAUCGCAGGUCCAUUGUGUAGUUAGGCGUGUUGUAAGCAGCUUUAAUUGUGUACAUCUUGGAUAUUGAGAGCAGUGUUGUCCAAGCCUUAUUUGAGUCGCGCUUAAGCGCUGAAGGUCAAAAACGCUCAGGGAAUGCACUUCGCCUCAUGUAGGUUGCGCUUCACUAUAGGCAAGGCACUAAGGUGUGCGCCUUAUUGCCUAUGUUUGAAUAAAGCGAUGCAAAACAAAUAAAUGUAAUUGGCAAAAAGAAAUCUCAAUUGUUGAAGAAAUCAUUGUGAAUGAAAUUGUCAUUUUUUUUGUAUUACAUAUUUUUUUUUUCUUCUUCGUUGUGCCUUUUUCAACUAAA